GACGAACGCUGGCGGCGUGCUUAACACAUGCAAGUCGAACGGAAAGGCCCUGCUUUUGUGGGGUGCUCGAGUGGCGAACGGGUGAGUAACACGUGAGUAACCUGCCCUUGACUUUGGGAUAACUUCAGGAAACUGGGGCUAAUACCGGAUAGGAGCUCCUGCUGCAUGGUGGGGGUUGGAAAGUUUCGGCGGUUGGGGAUGGACUCGCGGCUUAUCAGCUUGUUGGUGGGGUAGUGGCUUACCAAGGCUUUGACGGGUAGCCGGCCUGAGAGGGUGACCGGCCACAUUGGGACUGAGAUACGGCCCAGACUCCUACGGGAGGCAGCAGUGGGGAAGAGUGCACAAUGGGCGGAAGCCUGAUGCAGCAACGCCGCGUGCGGGAUGACGGCCUUCGUUUUGUAAUCCGCUUUCGCCUGUGACGAAGCGUGAGUGACGGUAAUGGGUAAAGAAGCUCCGGCUAACUACGUG
rnacentral:rRNA from 1 species